rnacentral:rRNA from 1 species
GAUGAACGCUGGCGGCGUGCCUAAUACAUGCAAGUCGAGCGAACAGACGAGGAGCUUGCUCCUCUGACGUUAGCGGCGGACGGGUGAGUAACACGUGGAUAACCUACCUAUAAGACUGGGAUAACUUCGGGAAACCGGAGCUAAUACCGGAUAAUAUAUUGAACCGCUUGGUUCGAUAGUGAAAGACGGUUUUGCUGUCACUUAUAGAUGGAUCCGCGCCGCAUUAGCUAGUUGGUAAGGUAACGGCUUACCAAGGCAACGAUGCGUAGCCGACCUGAGAGGGUGAUCGGCCACACUGGAACUGAGACACGGUCCAGACUCCUACGGGAGGCAGCAGUAGGGAAUCUUCCGCAAUGGGCGAAAGCCUGACGGAGCAACGCCGCGUGAGUGAUGAAGGUCUUCGGAUCGUAAAACUCUGUUAUUAGGGAAGAACAAAUGUGUAAGUAACUAUGCACGUCUUGACGGUACCUAAUCAGAAAGCCACGGCUAACUACGUG